rnacentral:lncRNA from 1 species
UGUUGGUUGUCCCUACCUUUGAGACAUGCUCAAUUUGUUAAAUACUAAUCACACUACUUCAUCUCCACUUGAGUAGAUCUCUAUAAAUGCUGUCAUGCUACCUUUGUCUAUUUUCUAGCAAGUGUUGGUUUGGAAGUACUCGACAUACUUCCAUUGGCAUUUAAAUUGAGCAUGGUGCUUAGGUUAAAUAGCCUUCCUUAAUCUGAUUAGACAUGGAGUCUAGUUUGGUUAUUGAACUAAAAACUGCUUGAGUAGAUAUUGGUAUAUUUUGUCGGACUAACCCCUGCAGGAAAACUUUCAAUAUCAACCUGGGAAGUCCUGAGAUAAACUCACAUUGGAGACAAGGAGAGGGACACAUGAAGUUUAACAAUUUACACAAGGAAGACAUAGGUCAUAAGAGAUGAUCCAUGGAAGGUGCCACACACACGAUACACAACCACUACGAAUGGAAAGCUUCCACAAGGUGAUACUAUACCAUCACUCUUCAAUUAAGGUAACAUCUUAAGAUAUCUGACUAUCACUUUUAUAAGCUUCUCCUUGGUUCUGACAUUGACAUAAAUAAAGAGACAAACAUGUAUGAUUUAUAACUCUAAAUUAACCAACCCAACUGAUUCAACAUGUUUAGUCCCUUAAUCUAUGAUCCCACACUCCUAAUCAUAUGAGCUAAAAUGUUACACAUUCAAUCAUUGAGAGAUAUAAAGAAAAUGACAUAUACAUAGAUAGAUUAUCUUUCCAUAAGGUUGAGCGAUCUGAUCUGACAAAUAUUAUAAGUGCUACACUCAUGAACUUUUCAUCCAUCAAAUUUGUCUUGCUCACUAUGCUUAAGGUUGGAGACGAACAAAUACACUUUAGGUUCUGUUGGUGUUUUCCACCAACAGGACCCAUGCACUUGAUCUCUGCCUUGUCUCUAUGAGCAGGUACACUUCGAGCAAAACACGGAGGAGUUUUAUAACUCUCAGACUCUACCAAGUGAAGGACCUGGAUCUACGAGCACAAACACACUGAGCAGGAUACUGCCAAUGCCGCACUUCUAACUGCUGGGCAAACGAAGAGGUGCAGACGUCAAGGUCCGCGCCUGAAUCAAAUGACGCACCUGAAAAAUGAACACGGUGAGAAGUCUUGUUAAGAAGACUUAAAACAUUGAACCCUCGCCGAAAGGUAAGAUCAGUAGUUAUCCAUAUUUAUCAUUUCUGCAUUCCCUUUUCCCUUUAAUUAUUUACUUUCCUUAAAUAGAUUAUUAGUUAAUCAUGCUAUCUUGAAAAGAAAAUAAAAAUGUUAAAAAAAUACUAAGCCCCAUGUGAGUAUAUGAGUGGCAUAAAACCCAUAAGUACCUUCACUGUGGUGGCAUAAAAAUAAAAUAAAUAUUUCUUUUCUGCUUUAUAAAAUAAAAAUAUAAAAAUAGGGAGUAAUAUUUAUUGAGGAAGCUCAAUAUGAUGAAGGCUAGAUAUUUAUGUUAACACUUAAUUAGUUCCACAAGCUUUGUUGUCUAUUUGAGCUCCACAAAAUUUAAGAAUCAAGAAGACUAGCAGACGGAGGACAUUCUAAUCGCUGUCAGAAUGCUGCUGACGUUCAAAUACACCUCUGCCACCUGCUAGCUACAUCAAGAGAAAUUACGUCAAAAUUCAGCUUGGGGGAGAGCACCCCCAUUUAUCUCGCUAAAUAUUUCUACCUAUCUUUAUAAUUAUAUUAUGUUAGAAUAUUAAAAUACAUAAGCUAUGAAAAACCAAAUAAAGAUUUUGUGCUUAUAUAUAUCUUUUGCUUAGUGUGUUUAAUAAAUAAAUAAAGUGGCUAUGCUAAUCUGAAUCUUAAUAAUAAAACUCUAGCAUGGAUAUGAUGAAUAGUUGCUCUGCCUAAUUUGCACAUUUGAAGUUCUCUCUCAAGUUUAGACAUAACUGUUAUAAUUUAAAGCUUGCUCUAGAUCUAAACUUGUGGGAUGAAAACUUGAUCUGAAAUCUAAGUUGUUAACAGAUAUGAUAUGGGAAGGUUGAGCUGCUGUUUAUCUGUUCCUAGAGAUGCUAGAAUUCUGGAGAAUUUUAUCUUUGAAAAAUCUUUAAAAUAUUGCAUGAUGAGUUCCUGUAUGAUGAGAGUUUAAAUUCCUACCACAGCCAUAUAUACAUGCUUGCUAGACUUUGAGCCACACAUUUAUUAUUUACUGCUUAUGAGCAUUGAGUGUGGUUAAGCUUUGUAGACCCUUAGGAGCUUGUCAUGUGGUUAAAUCAAGAUUCACUUGCACGUUCACUCAUAUAUGCUACUUCUACUCUGGAAGUACCAUCCACAUAUAUCCAUCCAUGUCCAUCUCCAGAACCACCCAAAAAUAUUCUACUCCUAAUCCGUUCUGUUUUCCCUUGUGAAAUAAAUGCUCAAGUUAUCUUGCUACUACCACUUGCUAUAUUAUCUCAAGAGAUGAGUGCUCUAAAAAAAAGAAGAAAAUAGAAGAAAAGAAAAGAAAAAUAAUAAUAAUAAACGAGGAAAUAAAAAGGGGCAAGUGCCCGGAACCUCGAAAGAAAGAAAAAGUGAGACGAGAGGUAAAAAUGGACAAGUGUCCGACAGUAGAAUUAGGGGUACAAGAUACCCACCUGAGAGGAAAGAAAAAGAAGAGCAUCUCAUUCUCCUCAUAAAGUUUCAAAAAGCAAGGAAGGUAUGUAUCCCCUCAAAAGAGCAAAAGUAGAAUUAGACUUUCACCAUUGUUAUCACCAUCAUCACCAUACACCAUUCAUUCGCCACACAUGCACAUCUUGAUUUGGCUUAUUAAUUUGUUUCUUUGGCAUGGUUUGACUAUACAAUAAAUGUCUUGUAAGUAUGUAUACUUUAUCUCCCACCUAUGAGCUCCAGAUAUUAAAGCCUUAUUAGAGUAGGGUGAGAGAGAAGGCAAUGUCACUAUGCCUUAUACCACAAAUACCACAUAUCUUGAGAGAAGGCAUAUACCAUCACUGCCUUGGUAAGGAUCCAGAAAUACCACAAAAGAGAGAUUUAGAGAGUCAUACAAGGAAUCUCUGAGUUUUAUUUGAAAAUCUGCAAAAACUCCAGAGCUAUAGCUGAUCAAGAAUAAGAGACAUGACACUUGGCUAGACUGUUCUAUCUUUUAACUACUCAAGACAGAAGUGACGGUUGCAAGUCCCAUGGUGAAAGGUAAAGUAAGUAAGUUUUAGUUCUUGACAGUUUACUCUAACUCAGAGAUGAGAUCUUAUUUAAAAGCAUGUGUACCGUCAAAUUUUUAAGAUAUUGCAACAACUUCUGAUCCAUUGCUGAGUCUAUCCUUGCUUAGGGACGAGCAAGAGGUAAGCUUGGGGGAGUUUGUUGACGGUCCUUAAGUAUCAAAUUUAAUUAUCAAAUAAACAAAGAAAAGGAUCAAAAUGAAAUCAACAUCUAGACUUAGGGUUUUAUCUGACAGAAUUCCACGAGUUUUGGUGUUUGUCUAUUUCUGCAGGGGGUUAUCAGGAAAUAUGAAAGAAAGGCCCACACGUCGGGUUUACAUAGAGAUAUUAACAUGCCGCGCAAUUUUCUACCAUCUAGAAGACUCCAGAAGCCACGGGAACGAACGGGAGGCCGAUCGGGCCCGGGGGCAGGGCGCCCGCCCAAGUCCCUUGGGUGCCCGCCCAGCUACAGUAACCAAUCAGCUUCAACUUCGCGGAUCAUGCUCCACCGACCUAAUACUUCAAGGAAAACCACACGAUCAAUGUCGGUUUGAUCCGACGGCCCAGAUUCUUCUGAAAAGACUAUAUAACUAGACCCCCUGGCCCCUGGAGGAGGCACCCCUUGAUAAUUAUUCAUUAUUCAUAGACAGAGCAAAAGCUAGGGUUUAGAGAUGAGAGCUCUCCUCUCUUCUCUAAACUAGAGUAGAUCUAGAUAGUAGCUAGAUGGAGAGCGAAGGAGGAUUAGAGGAGAGGCCGGUCUGUCGGUUCUUCCUCCGGUUGUACUUCGUCAUGAUCAAGCUCUAAUCAAGCUUGCUCAUGGGAUGACUCUGGUAAUCUACUUCUAAUUCAUUAUGCAAUUACUAAUUAUGUAUGUUCUUGUUCACAACUCUUUUGAGUACUUUAAUCUAUAGGACGCUAUAGGUGAGAGUUGUAGUAUAGGUGUAAGCGAGGUGCUUAGAUCUAGAUUAAUUGUGGAUAUCCCCUGUCUAGCUGGAUCGUGUGGUAGGCCGCGUAGGUGACAGUUACGUUGGUCCUCUGUAGUCCACCUCUCGUUAGCAGGACGGGUAGGGUUUAUCGGCCUAUGGAUAAGCAUCCUUUGUGGUGUAAUCUUAUCACGUGGUUCGUCCCAGACAUAGACAUACCCCUUUGAAGUAGAGAAACCAUAGUUAUUCUCUCUAUUCUGCUACCAUCGCCCAUAUACUAGAAUUGCUCUACUCUCUAUUCACAUAUUAUCACGCACUGUUAUCUUACCUUUAAUAUUGUUCUUAUUUGAUUCUACCAUCUUUCCUAUUUACACUUAUUUACUUAUCUUGGUUAAGUUAGAGCGUAGAUCAGUUCUCCCGUUUCCCUGUGGAUACGAUAAAACCUUUAACCGGGUAAAAGCUUCAACGGUAUCCGUGCGCUUGCGGAUUAUCUGUGUGCGUAUAAAUACCAUAGUACACUCUAGUGCCAUGCUGGGGAUGACAACCUAGUAUUCAAGUGGUGUUAGCAAGUGUCAACAAGGAUUUUUGGCGCCGUUGCCGGGGAAACGGUUGCUGAGUUGACUACGAACUAGCUUAAUCAUUUUCUAAAAAAAAUAUAAAUAAAAAAAAUAUAUAUAUUUCCUUUUAUCCUUUGCCUCAUCUCUGCUAAUCUUUCUUCUUCUCUAAUCCUUGAUCUGUGGUCUAUCAUGAAUUCAAACAUGUCUAUCUAUGAAUUUCAUAGACCUACGGGCACACAUCUCGAACCACCAAAAUCUUCAAAGCCUAUCAUAGCAUCUAGUUUUGAGAUAGACCCCGAAUACAUAGAACUUGUUCAAAAACAACCUUUCUCAGGAGAAGGUGAGGAAAACCCAUACACACAACUAAGAGAGUUUUAUAGAGUCUGUGACCUCCUUCGCAUAAAAGGCAUGUCCGAUGAGACCCUUAAAUGGAAGCUUUUUCCGUUCUCUUUAAUGGGAAAAGCUAGACAUUGGUAUAAACUCAAAGUAGGGAGUGUUCAUGGAGAUUGGAAGGAGUUACAUAGUAGUUUUCUUUCUAAAUAUUUUCCAAUCUCCAAAGUGGUGGAACUUCGGCGUGAGAUUAUUUCUUUUAGACAAUUGGAAGAAGAAUCUCUUAGGAAAUCAUGGGACCGCUUUAUUAACCUUACUCUCACUGGCCCAAAGCUUUCUAUUCCAGAAGAAGUUCUUCUAAUUCACUUUUUUGAGGGCCUUAGUGGGGAAAAUAAGCAAACCUUGAAUACAGCCUCUAGAGGAUCCUUCUAUCACCUACCUGCUAGUGAAGCUUGGAAUUUGAUUGAUUUAUUAAGCGGAAAGUCUCCUAGCUUUAAUAUCCCUGAGAAAGAGACAGAACCAGUUCCUAGACAAGAAGAAGAAGUUUCGAGAGCCAGAUCAUAACCACUUCAAUUCCAAACUUUAGCUAUCAUUCCUAAACCAUCAAUACCCCAAAAUUCUCCAAGGGAGGAAGGAAUUCUGACCUUAAAUCUUUCAGAUGCUGAUGGUUUAGACUUCUGGUUCCAUAAGAGACCUUCAAGCAGGGAUAAUUCAAAUCCUCGCAAUAAUGGUUCUCUUAGAGAAUGUCCUGGUUCCUGUUAUGAAGAAGUCGAGGAUGACAUAUCAAGUGAAGGAGAGCUAAGCCAUAUUGAAAAUUCUAACACCUCCCCUUUCAUGAUCACAAGUUCUAAAUGGCUAGAAUGUGUAGAAUGGAUGCAUAAGGAAGAAGCCUUAAUGGAUUCUGACUUGGGCUCAAUUUCAAAUGGUGAGUUCUUGACUCCCUUUGAAGAUGGGAUUCAUCAAACUAUAGAAGAGGACAUAAGUGAGACGAAUCCAAGAGGAACUCUGAACAUUCAGAUUAGAGACGAAGAUAACAUUAAUGAGCAUGGAAUUUAUUUCAUAGCCACUUUGUUUACUCCAUGCUCAUAUGCAACAUCUUCCCAAUCUAUUGGUCUCUCCAACAUCACCACAUUUGAGAUCUCCAACCCCCUCUUCCUUUCUAUUUAUAAAAACUUUAAAAGGGCGGUUGUCGAUGUAUAUGUCUAUAAUAAAUAUUGCAGAUCUCGUUGAGUUAAUCUUGAUUUAGGUCAGCGUUGGAAGGGAAACCACUUCGCCGACAUAAAUUGAUGGUUUCCCAAGGACAAGCUUGGUGUCCUAAAAUAAGCACUGAUGAGAUCGUAACAUGAGUUUUUAAUUAUUUGCAACAUUACCUUGUGUAUUGAGCAUAUAAGGAUAAUUGUAAAAAUAUUCCUUUGGGUAUUCUUGUCACUAACCUUUCUAGGAUUGGAGCAAGAAGAUCGGAUGAAUGACAAGCACAAGGUAUGUCCAACCGAUCAUCAUACAACAUUGAAUUAAAUUCAUCCAAACUUGAAUUUUGCAAAAUUCAAGCUUGGGGGAGUACUUUACAUAAAAACAUCCUUUGCUAUGUUGCUAUGUUGGUUGUCCCUACCUUUGAGACAUGCUCAAUUUGUUAAAUACUAAUCACACUACUUCAUCUCCACUUGAGUAGAUCUCUAUAAAUGCUGUCAUGCUACCUUUGUCUAUUUUCUAGCAAGUGUUGGUUUGGAAGUACUCGACAUACUUCCAUUGGCAUUUAAAUUGAGCAUGGUGCUUAGGUUAAAUAGCCUUCCUUAAUCUGAUUAGACAUGGAGUCUAGUUUGGUUAUUGAACUAAAAACUGCUUGAGUAGAUAUUGGUAUAUUUUGUCGGACUAACCCCUGCAGGAAAACUUUCAAUAUCAACCUGGGAAGUCCUGAGAUAAACUCACAUUGGAGACAAGGAGAGGGACACAUGAAGUUUAACAAUUUACACAAGGAAGACAUAGGUCAUAAGAGAUGAUCCAUGGAAGGUGCCACACACACGAUACACAACCACUACGAAUGGAAAGCUUCCACAAGGUGAUACUAUACCAUCACUCUUCAAUUAAGGUAACAUCUUAAGAUAUCUGACUAUCACUUUUAUAAGCUUCUCCUUGGUUCUGACAUUGACAUAAAUAAAGAGACAAACAUGUAUGAUUUAUAACUCUAAAUUAACCAACCCAACUGAUUCAGCAUGUUUAGUCCCUUAAUCUAUGAUCCCACACUCCUAAUCAUAUGAGCUAAAAUGUUACACAUUCAAUCAUUGAGAGAUAUAAAGAAAAUGACAUAUACAUAGAUAGAUUAUCUUUCCAUAAGGUUGAGCGAUCUGAUCUGACAAAUAUUAUAAGUGCUACACUCAUGAACUUUUCAUCCAUCAAAUUUGUCUUGCUCACUAUGCUUAAGGUUGGAGACGAACAAAUACACUUUAGGUUCUGUUGGUGUUUUCCACCAACAGGACCCAUGCACUUGAUCUCUGCCUUGUCUCUAUGAGCAGGUACACUUCGAGCAAAACACGGAGGAGUUUUAUAACUCUCAGACUCUACCAAGUGAAGGACCUGGAUCUACGAGCACAAACACACUGAGCAGGAUACUGCCAAUGCCGCACUUCUAACUGCUGGGCAAACGAAGAGGUGCAGACGUCAAGGUCCGCGCCUGAAUCAAAUGACGCACCUGAAAAAUGAACACGGUGAGAAGUCUUGUUAAGAAGACUUAAAACAUUGAACCCUCGCCGAAAGGUAAGAUCAGUAGUUAUCCAUAUUUAUCAUUUCUGCAUUCCCUUUUCCCUUUAAUUAUUUACUUUCCUUAAAUAGAUUAUUAGUUAAUCAUGCUAUCUUGAAAAGAAAAUAAAAAUGUUAAAAAAAUACUAAGCCCCAUGUGAGUAUAUGAGUGGCAUAAAACCCAUAAGUACCUUCACUGUGGUGGCAUAAAAAUAAAAUAAAUAUUUCUUUUCUGCUUUAUAAAAUAAAAAUAUAAAAAUAGGGAGUAAUAUUUAUUGAGGAAGCUCAAUAUGAUGAAGGCUAGAUAUUUAUGUUAACACUUAAUUAGUUCCACAAGCUUUGUUGUCUAUUUGAGCUCCACAAAAUUUAAGAAUCAAGAAGACUAGCAGACGGAGGACAUUCUAAUCGCUGUCAGAAUGCUGCUGACGUUCAAAUACACCUCUGCCACCUGCUAGCUACAUCAAGAGAAAUUACGUCAAAAUUCAGCUUGGGGGAGAGCACCCCCAUUUAUCUCGCUAAAUAUUUCUACCUAUCUUUAUAAUUAUAUUAUGUUAGAAUAUUAAAAUACAUAAGCUAUGAAAAACCAAAUAAAGAUUUUGUGCUUAUAUAUAUCUUUUGCUUAGUGUGUUUAAUAAAUAAAUAAAGUGGCUAUGCUAAUCUGAAUCUUAAUAAUAAAACUCUAGCAUGGAUAUGAUGAAUAGUUGCUCUGCCUAAUUUGCACAUUUGAAGUUCUCUCUCAAGUUUAGACAUAACUGUUAUAAUUUAAAGCUUGCUCUAGAUCUAAACUUGUGGGAUGAAAACUUGAUCUGAAAUCUAAGUUGUUAACAGAUAUGAUAUGGGAAGGUUGAGCUGCUGUUUAUCUGUUCCUAGAGAUGCUAGAAUUCUGGAGAAUUUUAUCUUUGAAAAAUCUUUAAAAUAUUGCAUGAUGAGUUCCUGUAUGAUGAGAGUUUAAAUUCCUACCACAGCCAUAUAUACAUGCUUGCUAGACUUUGAGCCACACAUUUAUUAUUUACUGCUUAUGAGCAUUGAGUGUGGUUAAGCUUUGUAGACCCUUAGGAGCUUGUCAUGUGGUUAAAUCAAGAUUCACUUGCACGUUCACUCAUAUAUGCUACUUCUACUCUGGAAGUACCAUCCACAUAUAUCCAUCCAUGUCCAUCUCCAGAACCACCCAAAAAUAUUCUACUCCUAAUCCGGGAGAGAAUAGCCAAAAAUAUUUCUGUUUUCCCUUGUGAAAUAAAUGCUCAAGUUAUCUUGCUACUACCACUUGCUAUAUUAUCUCAAGAGAUGAGUGCUCUAAAAAAAAAGAAGAAAAUAGAAGAAAAGAAAAGAAAAAUAAUAAUAAUAAACGAGGAAAUAAAAAGGGGCAAGUGCCCGGAACCUCGAAAGAAAGAAAAAGUGAGACGAGAGGUAAAAAUGGACAAGUGUCCGACAGUAGAAUUAGGGGUACAAGAUACCCACCUGAGAGGAAAGAAAAAGAAGAGCAUCUCAUUCUCCUCAUAAAGUUUCAAAAAGCAAGGAAGGUAUGUAUCCCCUCAAAAGAGCAAAAGUAGAAUUAGACUUUCACCAUUGUUAUCACCAUCAUCACCAUACACCAUUCAUUCGCCACACAUGCACAUCUUGAUUUGGCUUAUUAAUUUGUUUCUUUGGCAUGGUUUGACUAUACAAUAAAUGUCUUGUAAGUAUGUAUACUUUAUCUCCCACCUAUGAGCUCCAGAUAUUAAAGCCUUAUUAGAGUAGGGUGAGAGAGAAGGCAAUGUCACUAUGCCUUAUACCACAAAUACCACAUAUCUUGAGAGAAGGCAUAUACCAUCACUGCCUUGGUAAGGAUCCAGAAAUACCACAAAAGAGAGAUUUAGAGAGUCAUACAAGGAAUCUCUGAGUUUUAUUUGAAAAUCUGCAAAAACUCCAGAGCUAUAGCUGAUCAAGAAUAAGAGACAUGACACUUGGCUAGACUGUUCUAUCUUUUAACUACUCAAGACAGAAGUGACGGUUCCAAGUCCCAUGGUGAAAGGUAAAGUAAGUAAGUUUUAGUUCUUGACAGUUUACUCUAACUCAGAGAUGAGAUCUUAUUUAAAAGCAUGUGUACCGUCAAAUUUUUAAGAUAUUGCAACAACUUCUGAUCCAUUGCUGAGUCUAUCCUUGCUUAGGGACGAGCAAGAGGUAAGCUUGGGGGAGUUUGUUGACGGUCCUUAAGUAUCAAAUUUAAUUAUCAAAUAAACAAAGAAAAGGAUCAAAAUGAAAUCAACAUCUAGACUUAGGGUUUUAUCUGACAGAAUUCCACGAGUUUUGGUGUUUGUCUAUUUCUGCAGGGGGUUAUCAGGAAAUAUGAAAGAAAGGCCCACACGUCGGGUUUACAUAGAGAUAUUAACGUGCCGCGCAAUUUUCUACCAUCUAGAAGACUCCAGAAGCCACGGGAACGAACGGGAGGCCGAUUGGGCCCGGGGGCAGGGCGCUCGCCCAAGUCCCUUGGGUGCCCGCCCAGCUACAGUAACCAAUCAGCUUCAAGUUCGCGGAUCAUGCUCCACUGACCUAAUACUUCAAGGAAAACCACACGAUCAAUGUCGGUUUGACCCGAUGGCCCAGAUUCUUCUGAAAAGACUAUAUAACUAGACCCCCUGGCCCCUGGAGGAGGCACCCCUUGAUAAUUAUUCAUUAUUCAUAGACAGAGCAAAAGCUAGGGUUUAGAGAUGAGAGCUCUCCUCUCUUCUCUAAAAUAGACUAGAUCUAGAUAGUAGCUAGAUGGAGAGCGAAGGAGGAUUAGAGGAGAGGCCGGUCUGUCGGUUCUUCCUCCGGUUGUACUUCGUCAUGAUCAAGCUCUAAUCAAGCUUGCUCAUGGGAUGACUCUGGUAAUCUACUUCUAAUUCAUUAUGCAAUUACUAAUUAUGUAUGUUCUUGUUCACAACUCUUUUGAGUACUUUAAUCUAUAGGACGCUAUAGGUGAGAGUUGUAGUAUAGGUGUAAGCGAGGUGCUUAGAUCUAGAUUAAUUGUGGAUAUCCCCUGUCUAGCUGGAUCGUGUGGUAGGCCGCGUAGGUGACAGUUACGUUGGUCCUCUGUAGUCCACCUCUCGUUAGCAGGACGGGUAGGGUUUAUCGGCCUAUGGAUAAGCAUCCUUUGUGGUGUAAUCUUAUCACGUGGUUCGUCCCAGACAUAGACAUACCCCUUUGAAGUAGAGAAACCAUAGUUAUUCUCUCUAUUCUGCUACCAUCGCCCAUAUACUAGAAUUGCUCUACUCUCUAU